rnacentral:misc_RNA from 1 species
UGCACACGACCCGCUUUCUACGGUGUCGACCGCCAGUUCUACCGUGCACUUGACGAAACCAUUGGAGUUGUUGUGUAUACCGCAUAUCUCGAAGCUUCAAGCCGACUUUUCGUUAGCUGGGUUGGGAAUACCUCAAUUCGAAUUGUGGAUAUCUCUGGAUAAAAUACCAAGAUGAGCAAGAAGUGUGGAAAGUGCUCGAAGACGGUGUAUCCGACAGAAGAGCUGAAAUGCUUAGACAAGGUGUGGCACAAAGCAUGUUUUAAAUGUCAAGUUUGCAGUAUGACAUUAAACAUGAAGAACUACAAAGGAUACGAUAAACUUCCAUAUUGCAAUGCACAUUACCCACAGACGAAGCACACGGCAGUUGCAGACACCCCUGAGAGUAGACGUAUUGCUGAAAAUACUAAAAUCCAAAGUAAUAAUCAGUACCACAGCGAGUUCGAGAAGAGCAAGAGCAACUACACCGUCAUUGCCGACCCCAAUGGACUGCGACAGCUCCUACAGAACUCCAAGAAUGCCAGCGUGAAUGUGUACCAUGCUGACUUUGAGAAGACCAAGGGAAACUACACGACAGUGGUCGAUCCCAUGUCGGUCAAGAAAUGUCUCGAAAACACAAAGAACCUUAGCUCGACUCAGUACAAGAGAGACUUUCAAGAGUCCAAGGGCAAGGUCAAGUCUAUUGCUGACCCUUUGACCCUCAAAACUGCCAUGGCUGCCACCAAGAAUGCUAGCUUGGUUCGAUACCACAGUGACUUUGAGAAGGAGAAAUCUCACUAUACUAUGGUUGCAGACCCUCUUGAGAUGCAACGCCAUAAGGACAACCAGAAAAACAUCAGUGGGGUUGAAUAUCACAAAGAUUUUGAGCAUACGAAAAGUCAAUACACAACAGUUGCCGAUUCUGCUGAUAUGAAGCGCCACCAAUCUAAUCAGAAAAUUCUGAGUGCGGUGGUGUACCACAGCGAUUUUGAGAAGGGCAAGACGGCUGUUAACAUGCCAGCUGAUGCCCUUGAUGUCAAACGAAGUAUGACCAAUCAAAAAAUGGCUAGUGAGGUGAACUAUCACAAGGACUUUGAGAUGUCCAAGAGCAAAUACACUCAAGUGGCCGACACUGUGGAGAUGCGGCGCCACCAGGGGAACAAAGAGAUUCUGAAGGGGGUGGCUCCACAAUCCUCCAAACCAACCCCUCAAUCUCCUACUCCUCAAUCCCCUACCCCUCAGUCCCCCACCCAGUCACAUCCAGAGCCCAAACUAGCAGCUCCUAAACAGGUGUCCAAACAAUCCCCCAAAGCAGCCCCUGAGGAGCCACCAAAACAGCUCUCUCAAGAGCCCACUAAAGUAGUUCAGAAGGAACCGGCUAAAGCAGUUCCUCAAGAACCAGCUAAAAAGGUUGAAGAACCAGCUCCAAAGGUUGUAGAACAACCUAAAGAGCUUCCUCAAGAACCAGCUCCAAAGGUUGCAGAAGAACCCACUAAACAGCUUCCUCAAGAACCAGCUAAAGAGCUUCCUCAAGAACCAGCUAAAGAGCUACCUGAAGAACCAGCUAAAGAGCUUCCAGAGGAACCCUCUAAGAAGCUCCCUCAAGAACCAGCUAAAGAGCUUCCAGAGGAACCUUCCAAGGAGCUCCCUCAAGAACCAGCUAAAGAGCUUCCAGAGGAACCUUCUAAUGAGCUCCCUCAAGAACCAGUUACAGAGCCUCCACAAGAGCCUCCAAGUGAGGCUGUGGAGCAGCAAUGACUGACUGGACUUGUUAUCUGCCUCCUGUAUGGACAACUGACUUCUGCUAUGAUUAAGUACCAUGAAAAUUUUGAAAAAGAAAAAGGCAAAAAAAUGUCUGUGGCUGACGACCCUGAAACCCAGCGUCUCAAGAAGAACAUGCAAGUCGUGAGCAAUGUUGC